ACUUGGGAAGUGCGCUUCUAAUCGUCUUCGGACAAUUCUUGAACUCUGGUCUCAAAUCAGGUAGGGCUACCCGCUGAACUUAAGCAUAUCAAUAAGCGGAGGAAAAGAAACUAACAAGGAUUCCCUUAGUAACGGCGAGUGAACCGGGAAAAGCUCAAAUUUGUAAUCUGGCUGUCUUCGAUAGUCCGAGUUGUAAUCUAUAGACGUGUUUUCCGUGCUGGACCGUAUCUAAGUCCCUUGGAACAGGGUAUCAAAGAGGGUGACAAUCCCGUGCUUGAUACGACCACCAGUGCUCUGUGAUACACGUUCUACGAGUCGAGUUGUUUGGGAAUGCAGCUCAAAAUGGGUGGUAAAUUCCAUCUAAAGCUAAAUAUUGGCGAGAGACCGAUAGCGAACAAGUACCGUGAGGGAAAGAUGAAAAGCACUUUGGAAAGAGAGUUAAACAGUACGUGAAAUUGUUGAAAGGGAAACGAUUGAAGUCAGUCGUGUUCUUUGGAUUCAGCUAGUUCUUCUAGUCUACUUCCAUUGAACGGGUCAACAUCAGUUUUGUCCGGUGGAUAAAGGUAUUAGGAAUGUAGCUCCCUCGGGAGUGUUAUAGACUAGUAUUGCAUACACUGGGUGAGACUGAGGACUGCAGCUCGCCUUUUGGCCGGCCUUCGGGCACGUUCGAGCUUAGGAUGUUGACAUAAUGGCUUUAAACGACCCGUCUUGAAACACGGA
rnacentral:rRNA from 1 species